rnacentral:rRNA from 1 species
AGAGCGAACGCUGGCGGCAGGCCUAACACAUGCAAGUCGAGCGCCCCGCAAGGGGAGCGGCAGACGGGAGAGUAACACGUGGGAACGUACCCUUCAGUUCGGAACAACCCAGGGAAACUUGGGCUAAUACCGAAUACGUCCGUAAGGAGAAAGAUUUAUCGCUGAAGGAUCGGCCCGCGUCUGAUUAGCUUGUUGGUGAGGUAAUGGCUCACCAAGGCUACGAUCAGUAGCUGGUCUGAGAGGAUGAUCAGCCUCACUGGGACUGAGACACGGCCCAGACUCCUACGGGAGGCAGCAGUGGGGAAUAUUGGACAAUGGGCGCAAGCCUGAUCCAGCCAUGCCGCGUGGGUGAUGAAGGCCCUAGGGUUGUAAAAGCCCUUUCGGCGGGGAAGAUAAUGACGGUACCCGCAGAAGAAGCCCGGCUAACUUCGCGCCAGCAGCCGC